GAGCGCCGUAUCGAUACGGAGCGGCAGACGGGAGAGUAACACGUGGGAACGUGCCCUUCAGUUCGGAACAACUCAGGGAAACUUGGGCUAAUACCGAAUACGUCCGUAAGGAGAAAGAUUUAUCGCUGAAGGAUCGGCCCGCGUCUGAUUAGCUAGUUGGUGGGGUAAUGGCCCACCAAAGCGACGAUCAGUAGCUGGUCUGAGAGGAUGAUCAGCCUCACUGGGACUGAGACACGGCCCAGACUCCUACGGGAGGCAGCAGUGGGGAAUAUUGGACAAUGGGCGAAAGCCUGACGCAGCGACGCCGCGUGGGGGAUGAAGCUUCUCGGAGUGUAAACCCCUUUCGAUCCGGACGAAUGACCCGCAAGGGUUUGACGGUACGGGUAUAAGAAGCCCCGGCUAACUACGUG
rnacentral:rRNA from 1 species